rnacentral:rRNA from 1 species
UACGUAGGGGGCUAGCGUUGUCCGGAAUCAUUGGGCGUAAAGCGCGUGUAGGCGGCCCGGUAAGUCCGCUGUGAAAGUCGGGGGCUCAACCCUCGGAUGCCGGUGGAUACUGUCGGGCUAGAGUGCGGAAGAGGAGAGUGGAAUUCCUGGUGUAGCGGUGAAAUGCGCAGAUAUCAGGAAGAACACCCGUGGCGAAGGCGGCUCUCUGGGACGGUACUGACGCUGAGACGCGAAAGCGUGGGGAGCGAACAGG